rnacentral:lncRNA from 1 species
CCCCGCGGGGUCCUGGGCUGCCGCUCGUGGGCUGGCCUGGAGCAGCCUCCAUCAGGGGCGGGGGGGAGGCGCCGCUCCGCCCGCAGCCCAGCCCGUCGGCGGCGGCGGCCCCGCGCACGGCGCACCCUCCCGGCGGCCGCAGCUCGCCCGGAGCCACCUGCCGCCCGAGCUCCGCGGCGCCCCCGGCCCCGACGCGGCGCCCCGCCGCCCCCCCCACGCGUGACCCGGCGGCCAUCGCCAACCUCCGGCUCCCGGGCUCGCGGACUUGGGGUCCCCGGCGGCGGCGGCGGCAGAGGAGGCGAGCCCGGCCGCUCGCCCUCCGCGCUGCGCUCGGAUUGGUCUCUCCCGGGGAGCGCCGGCCGAGGGUUGGCUGCGGGCCGGCUAAGAACAGGUGCGCCGAGCCGCCGCCGCGGGACCCCUGUGUCGGAAUGCGGCUCCCCGGCGCCCGGCGCGGCCCCUGAUCCGGGGCGAGGCCCGGCGGGAGGGCGCCCCGAGGAUGCCGGCGCGGCUGGAGCGCAUGCAGGCGGCGGGCGGCGGCGGGAGCAGCGGGAGCAGCGGCAGCGGGAGCGGCAGCGGCAGCAGCUUCAGCAGCAGCAUCAGCUUCGGCAGCGGCGGCAGCAGCAGCAUCAGCUUCGGCAGCGGCGGCAGCAGCGGCGGCGGCGGCGGCGGCGGGCGCGGGGCCCCGGCGCGCAGGAGGCCGCUCGGAGGGCUGCACACGCGCCCCGCCGCUCCCUGACCGGCCCCGCGUCCGCGCUCCCCGCCGCCCCCUCCCCUCCCCUCCCCUCCCCUCCCCGGCCCGCGUCCCCUCCCCCGCCCCUCGCCUCCCCGCCCGCCGCCCGCCUCUCGGGGGGAGGGGCGUGGGGGCAGGGAGCCGAUUUGCAUGCGGCCGCCGCGGCCGCUGCCUGCGCCCGAGCCCGAGCCCGAGCCCGCCGCCGCCGCCGCCGCCGCCGCCGGAGCCCGGCCCGCGCGGCCCCAUGCCUGUGGCGCGGCCCUCGGGGGGGCGGA